ensembl:misc_RNA 7SK 7SK RNA
UGAUGUGAGGGUGAUCUGAUUGAGACAUCUGUCACCCAAUUGAUCGCCAGGGUUGAUACGUCUGAUCUGGCUGGCUAGGCAGGUGUCCUCUUCCUCCCUCACCAAUCCUUGAGCAACCCUCCCAAAGCUGCAUGCUUGGUCAAAGAGGAUGACCUUCCCUGUAUAGGGGAGGACAGGUCUUUGGUCAAGGGUAUACAAGUAGCUGUACUCCCCUGCUAGAACCUCCAAACAAGCUCUCAAUGGGAAAGGACAAAUGCUCCCUCAAACUGAUCUUCCGGAAGUACCUGUAAUA